ensembl:lncRNA FAM88C family with sequence similarity 88 member C
ACUGACUGGGUCACUGGUGAAGUUCCCCGCAGGAACUGAGUCAGACCCCAUCUCAGGGCCCUGCACAAGAUAGGUGCCUGCUCUAAGGCGUGGACCCUCGCCACAGCCCUGGCCCGUCUUGACGGGCGAGGGUUACUGUACUUGUCCCAACCGUACAGAUGAGAAAGCUGAGACUCAGGGCGAGCAACCCGGGUCCCAGCGGAGCGCCCGGCACACGCCGACACUUCAGCACCAGUCGCGGUGGCCACCACUGUGCGCGGAGAUGGCUGCGACGCGUGCGCAGAUCUCGAUCCCAAACUCCCUCCUGCCAGAAUCUGGACCCGAAUCCACCCAUUGCCCGUUUUCUGCUGCCGCUGGAGAGAAUCUCUGAGGUCCCCAGGAGAGCCUGCCUGCACGGAAGAGAUGCCUCCUCAAUCAAAUGCUGUUUUCCAUGACUGUCUCUGUUCUUCCCAUACGCGAAUGGCAGGCAUCCAGAUCUCCAAGAAUAGAGGAUUAGGAGAGACUCCACCACCUAUGUCCUCACAGUUAAUUAUCGAUUUGUGUCAGUUGCCCAUUUUCUCACUUCCUGUUUGUGUGUCAAGGAGUAUUAAUAAAUCUUUGCCUAUUUAAAGAUAUUAGCCUUGGAUUUUCAAAUAUUGCAUAUUUUGACAUGUAAAAAUUUGUUAGUUUUAUUUUUUCAACCGAUCUGACCUGUAUAGUUGGGCUUGAGGAAGCUUCCUCAUUCUACAUGUUACUAUGGAUUUUCUAAUAUUAACACAGGGUUGUAUUUUUUCCAUAUAACUUUCUAUUGAAUUUCUUUUUCCAUAUGAUAGGUGGUGAAGGUUUAGCCCAGUAAAGCAGAGAGGUUAAGAGGUUAGAUUGGGGGCUCUGGAGCCAGACCUAUGUAGAUCUGAGUCCUGGCUCUGGCACUUGAAAGCCGUGUGACCUUGGUUAAGAUACUUAGUCCCUCUCUGCCAAAUGGAGAAAUAAGGGCACCUACCCCAUAGGGUAGUUGUGUGAUUACACAAGUUAAUACACUUCAAUCAGUAGCAAGAAAGUGAAUGUCAAGCUGUAUUUGUUCAGGCAGCCAUAUGGUAGCCCCACGUCCUUAGUAAACUGAGGUAUUGAAGUAUCUUCUUUUUCUUUCAGAAAAUAUUUGUCAAGCACCUUCUGUGUUCUAAGAACUGUUCUAGAGCUUUGCAUGCUAUGGAGGUCUAGAAAUUCACAUUAUGGUGGCAGGUGACAGACAAUACAAAGAGAUAAAGCAAUUUCAUAUAGUGAUAAGCUAGGGAGGAGUGCUAAAAGGAGCCAAGGUGUAGUGGUGACUGGAAGGUGACCAGGGAAACCACUGUAGGGUUUCUAAGUGAUGAGAUCUGUGACAAAUCCCUGUGGUCAGCAGCAGGCAUUGGAUAUGUAACUUUAUUCUGUCCCAUUGAUCUUGUAGUCAACCCUGGUCUGUUCUGUAUUGUUUUAAUUACAUAAUCUUUGUAAUAAUCUUUAA